rnacentral:rRNA from 1 species
AUGGACAAUCGUGGUCAGGAGAUGCAACGGCAGCACCGCUCACUUCUAGGGAGGAAAGCUGCUCCACAAGAUGGGAAGAUGGCUGCCCCUAACUCAGGCGGAGUGGCUAAACCUGUUCAUCAAGGAGGUCAUAAGCAGACGAGCCAGGUACAUGUGCAAUCUACUGUUCCUGUGGCUACAACCCCUCCUCCUCCUCCCUUACCUGUGGUCCAAGCUCUAGAUCCCAAAUAUAAGGAUAUGAUAUGCUUCAACUGUAGCUGGUCUGGGCACUAUGUGGGUAACUGCGUGGAGCCGAAGAAGUGCUUUAUCUAUGCUGGAGGUCAUAAUGUCAAUAACUGUGCUGCCUGGGCAAAACCUCAGCCCACAACUACUUAUUUUGGUAGUGUUGCGGCUGGUCUAGGGUUCUACCACAUAGAUGUGCCAUUGGCAUCGGAGUCCACCUGGCUUAACUACAGGAACUAUGUUGUCCUCAAGAUUAUCAAAGGUGAGGUUUCUACCUCGGAGUUGCUAAUACAGCUUAAUGGAAUCUUUUGCAAGAACAAAAAAUGGCCUUGGCAGAUUAGGGAUCUGGGGGAUAAGAAAUUCCUUCUUAGGUCCCCCCCUUGGAAAAAUGUGGAUGACUUGAUUGAGUUUCCUGCAUUUGAGCUACCAAUUGAUGGAGUAUCUGCUAAGGUAUGUGAGUGGGAGGGGAUGCUUGAUGAGUUUGGAGUACUGACUGAAGCUUGGGUGCAGAUUGAGGGGAUUCCCCCUAAGUGGUAUGCUUGGAAAGUUUUUGCCCAUAUCACAGCCUGCUUUGGAAUUCUGGUUGAUGUUGAUUGGAAUGGUAUAUUCAAAAGUUUCUAUGAGAACAUUAGAGUGAAGGUUGCAUGUAGAGACCCCAGGAAGAUCCCAUUUGAAAGGCUUUUUGAGAUGAAAAGAAAACUAUAUUUGUUGUUCUUCACAGUGGAAGGUUUUGAACAGAUGGGAGAGGACUCUGAUGGUGAUGACCCUGUGCCAGAUCUGGAAGAUGGGGAAGAAGAGAAUGAAAACAACAGCAGAGAUAGGUCUGGCAAUGAUGAGAUGGAGGAAGAUGAACUAGAGGAGCCCAUAGAUGAACUAGAUAAAGCAAUUUUUCUUGGCAAAAAAGGUUCCUCUGCUAGUACAAGCAAAUCUGUUCCACAAAAAACUGCUUUUGCAGUUGAGUUUCACCCCUUCAAUAUGAUGGAUGAGAUCCAUGAAGAUUUUGUGGAAGAGACCACGGACAAAACCCCUCUGAGAGUGAAUACCAAGGAUAGAAAUGAAGAUCUAGGUCCACAACUAACUGCAAAAAUUCAUGUGUCUACAAGAUCUGCCUCUCUGUCAACACACUUAGAUUACUGCGCUGAUCAGCUGAGUAAAAUUUGA